rnacentral:rRNA from 1 species
GGGUUGUGAGGUUAAGCGACUAAGCGUACACGGUGGAUGCCCUGGCAGUCAGAGGCGAUGAAGGACGUGCUAAUCUGCGAUAAGCGUCGGUAAGGUGAUAUGAACCGUUAUAACCGGCGAUUUCCGAAUGGGGAAACCCAGUGUGAUUCGUCACACUAUCAUUAACUGAAUCCAUAGGUUAAUGAGGCGAACCGGGGGAACUGAAACAUCUAAGUACCCCGAGGAAAAGAAAUCAACCGAGAUUCCCCCAGUAGCGGCGAGCGAACGGGGAGCAGCCCAGAGCCUGAAUCAGUGUGUGUGUUAGUGGAAGCGUCUGGAAAGGCGCGCGAUACAGGGUGACAGCCCCGUACACAAAAAUGCACAUGCUGUGAGCUCGAUGAGUAGGGCGGGACACGUGGUAUCCUGUCUGAAUAUGGGGGGACCAUCCUCCAAGGCUAAAUACUCCUGACUGACCGAUAGUGAACCAGUACCGUGAGGGAAAGGCGAAAAGAACCCCGGCGAGGGGAGUGAAAAAGAACCUGAAACCGUGUACGUACAAGCAGUGGGAGCACGCUUAGGCGUGUGACUGCGUACCUUUUGUAUAAUGGGUCAGCGACUUAUAUUCUGUAGCAAGGUUAACCGAAUAGGGGAGCCGAAGGGAAACCGAGUCUUAACUGGGCGUUAAGUUGCAGGGUAUAGACCCGAAACCCGGUGAUCUAGCCAUGGGCAGGUUGAAGGUUGGGUAACACUAACUGGAGGACCGAACCGACUAAUGUUGAAAAAUUAGCGGAUGACUUGUGGCUGGGGGUGAAAGGCCAAUCAAACCGGGAGAUAGCUGGUUCUCCCCGAAAGCUAUUUAGGUAGCGCCUCGUGAAUUCAUCUCCGGGGGUAGAGCACUGUUUCGGCAAGGGGGUCAUCCCGACUUACCAACCCGAUGCAAACUGCGAAUACCGGAGAAUGUUAUCACGGGAGACACACGGCGGGUGCUAACGUCCGUCGUGAAGAGGGAAACAACCCAGACCGCCAGCUAAGGUCCCAAAGUCAUGGUUAAGUGGGAAACGAUGUGGGAAGGCCCAGACAGCCAGGAUGUUGGCUUAGAAGCAGCCAUCAUUUAAAGAAAGCGUAAUAGCUCACUGGUCGAGUCGGCCUGCGCGGAAGAUGUAACGGGGCUAAACCAUGCACCGAAGCUGCGGCAGCGACGCUGAUGCGUUGUUGGGUAGGGGAGCGUUCUGUAAGCCUGCGAAGGUGUGCUGUGAGGCAUGCUGGAGGUAUCAGAAGUGCGAAUGCUGACAUAAGUAACGAUAAAGCGGGUGAAAAGCCCGCUCGCCGGAAGACCAAGGGUUCCUGUCCAACGUUAAUCGGGGCAGGGUGAGUCGACCCCUAAGGCGAGGCCGAAAGGCGUAGUCGAUGGGAAACAGGUUAAUAUUCCUGUACUUGGUGUUACUGCGAAGGGGGGACGGAGAAGGCUAUGUUGGCCGGGCGACGGUUGUCCCGGUUUAAGCGUGUAGGCUGGUUUUCCAGGCAAAUCCGGAAAAUCAAGGCUGAGGCGUGAUGACGAGGCACUACGGUGCUGAAGCAACAAAUGCCCUGCUUCCAGGAAAAGCCUCUAAGCAUCAGGUAACAUCAAAUCGUACCCCAAACCGACACAGGUGGUCAGGUAGAGAAUACCAAGGCGCUUGAGAGAACUCGGGUGAAGGAACUAGGCAAAAUGGUGCCGUAACUUCGGGAGAAGGCACGCUGAUAUGUAGGUGAAGUCCCUCGCGGAUGGAGCUGAAAUCAGUCGAAGAUACCAGCUGGCUGCAACUGUUUAUUAAAAACACAGCACUGUGCAAACACGAAAGUGGACGUAUACGGUGUGACGCCUGCCCGGUGCCGGAAGGUUAAUUGAUGGGGUUAGCGCAAGCGAAGCUCUUGAUCGAAGCCCCGGUAAACGGCGGCCGUAACUAUAACGGUCCUAAGGUAGCGAAAUUCCUUGUCGGGUAAGUUCCGACCUGCACGAAUGGCGUAAUGAUGGCCAGGCUGUCUCCACCCGAGACUCAGUGAAAUUGAACUCGCUGUGAAGAUGCAGUGUACCCGCGGCAAGACGGAAAGACCCCGUGAACCUUUACUAUAGCUUGACACUGAACAUUGAGCCUUGAUGUGUAGGAUAGGUGGGAGGCUUUGAAGUGUGGACGCCAGUCUGCAUGGAGCCGACCUUGAAAUACCACCCUUUAAUGUUUGAUGUUCUAACGUUGACCCGUAAUCCGGGUUGCGGACAGUGUCUGGUGGGUAGUUUGACUGGGGCGGUCUCCUCCUAAAGAGUAACGGAGGAGCACGAAGGUUGGCUAAUCCUGGUCGGACAUCAGGAGGUUAGUGCAAUGGCAUAAGCCAGCUUGACUGCGAGCGUGACGGCGCGAGCAGGUGCGAAAGCAGGUCAUAGUGAUCCGGUGGUUCUGAAUGGAAGGGCCAUCGCUCAACGGAUAAAAGGUACUCCGGGGAUAACAGGCUGAUACCGCCCAAGAGUUCAUAUCGACGGCGGUGUUUGGCACCUCGAUGUCGGCUCAUCACAUCCUGGGGCUGAAGUAGGUCCCAAGGGUAUGGCUGUUCGCCAUUUAAAGUGGUACGCGAGCUGGGUUUAGAACGUCGUGAGACAGUUCGGUCCCUAUCUGCCGUGGGCGCUGGAGAAUUGAGGGGGGCUGCUCCUAGUACGAGAGGACCGGAGUGGACGCAUCACUGGUGUUCGGGUUGUCAUGCCAAUGGCAUUGCCCGGUAGCUAAAUGCGGAAGAGAUAAGUGCUGAAAGCAUCUAAGCACGAAACUUGCCCCGAGAUGAGUUCUCCCUGACUCCUUGAGAGUCCUGAAGGAACGUUGAAGACGACGACGUUGAUAGGCCGGGUGUGUAAGCGCAGCGAUGCGUUGAGCUAACCGGUACUAAUGAACCGUGAGGCUUAACCUUACAACGCCGAAGGUGUUU